rnacentral:rRNA from 1 species
GAUGAACGCUGACAGAAUGCUUAACACAUGCAAGUCUACUUGAAUUUGGGUUUUUUAACUUAGAUUUGGGUGGCGGACGGGUGAGUAACGCGUAAAGAACUUGCCUCACAGCUAGGGACAACAUUUGGAAACGAAUGCUAAUACCUGAAAUUAUGAUUAUAAGGCAUCUUAGAAUUAUGAAAGCUAUAUGCGCUGUGAGAGAGCUUUGCGUCCCAUUAGCUAGUUGGAGAGGUAACGGCUCACCAAGGCGAUGAUGGGUAGCCGGCCUGAGAGGGUGAACGGCCACAAGGGGACUGAGACACGGCCCUUACUCCUACGGGAGGCAGCAGUGGGGAAUAUUGGACAAUGGACCAAGAGUCUGAUCCAGCAAUUCUGUGUGCACGAUGACGUUUUUCGGAAUGUAAAGUGCUUUCAGUUGGGAAGAAAAAAAUGACGGUACCAACAGAAGAAGUGACGGCUAAAUACGUG